CCCUUAGAUGUCCUGGGCCGCACGCGCGCUACACUGAGUGUCUGAGAUACGAGUCUGCCUGGUCCGGCAAGGUCUAGGUAAUUGCUAAAAGACACAUCAUGCUUGGGAUAGAUUAUUGCAAAUAUUAAUCUUGAACGAGGAAUUCCUAGUAAGCGCAAGUCAACAGCUUGCGUUGAUUACGUCCCUGCCCUUUGUACACACCGCCCGUCGCUACUACUGAUUGGAUGUUUAAGCGAGGUUCUCGAACUGCUAGCGACUUAGCUUCGGUGAGGUCGCAGUGUGGGAAGUGAACCUAGCUUUGGUGUCUAGAGGAAGUAAAAGUCGUAACA
rnacentral:rRNA from 1 species